CACUCGCAGCCGGCAGUCGCGGCCGAGCGGACGAGGUUGCGCUCAAAGGCGAUGAUAUCGAUGCCGGCCCGGUUCGCGAUCCAUCGGGCGGUCCGACGAUGCCGCGGCCCGUCAUUGGACAGUGCGGCGCGCAGACAGUUUCCAGGAUCCCACUCGCCUUGCACGCGGUCGACGGCCAACGCCAGGGUCGAGAGCAUUCCCCAGCGGGCGGCGUCCUCGCACGCGCCCGCCGACCACGUGCAACCGUGAUCGGUAAGCAUGCAGGCGACAGUGUGACGGUCGACAUGAGGGCCGUCGUGGGGGCACGGACGGAUGGCCCUCCUGAUAGGGUCGGCGGGUAAGGGUUCGCCUGUCGACAGGACCCACUCCACAACGUCGGCAUUACCACUUUCGAGACACCAGACGGCCAGUUGGGCGCCGGGAGCGUCGGGACGGGCACGCGCACCGAGCCACGCCAAGAGAGUUGCCUGAUUCUUUCUCGCGGCAUCGCGGUAGGCCAGGUCGGUCACCUGGACGAGGCCGACGUCCAUAAGGGUACCCAAUACUCGAAUCGCCAGUUUUUGGUCGUCCGCCUGAUCAGCACAGCCGCACCACAGCGUGCCGCGGUGGCGCAUGUCGUCGCCGGUGAUACGAGAUUGGACGAUCGGGUCGUCGAUCAGAUCGGCGGCAAUAUCGAUCCGACCCUCUCGGAUGGCACGAAAGAGGAUCUCCAGCGUGUCGGGCGCGAGGCCAACGACGCUGUCUCCAUUGCGGCGCCGGGCCGCGUCGCGGUCGUAGAACCACAUGACCAUGUCCAACCGAUUCCGAUGCAAGGCCUCGUAGAUCCAUCGCGUCCAUUGCCAAUGUCCUGCGAUCCCGGCUUCGGUGGCGGCCCAUGCCACCGCCCGCGCAUGACCGUCGAGAACGAUCUUUCUGGCUCCACUAUGCACCCACGAAGCGUCGCGGCCAUAGGCCCAACGGAGCACCGAGACCGAGCCCGAUACUAGAGCGCUAUAGAUCACGCGGUGCGAUACCGACUGCGACCGAUCGAUAGCGGAUUGCAGGCUGUCGACAUUGUCGGUUUGGGCCAGCGCACAGAGCACGUCGAUGUGACACAGAUGGCCAUCGUCAUGCGCUUGGUCAACCACGUUCUCGUGGCCCUCGGCAAUGGCCUUGGCGGCCGAGUCGGGGGUCCAUUUACAGCCGCGCCCGCGCAACCAGCCGACGGCAUCAAGAUUGCGUGCGCGCGUCGCCGCCAAGAGCAGCCUGUCCGCGCCCAGCAGCAAUUCAUCGCGCCCAUCGAGAAGCCAUUGGAUCACGGGCCAGCGUCCGUCCUCUAGGGCGCGAACCGCGAUCUCCAGGAAAUUUUCGGGUUUGUUGAGCAUCCACGCGUAGCGUCGGACCCGAGUGAGCCCAUGGCGCCACAUGCGGCACACGCAGUGCGCCGCGAUCCUAUCGGUGAUGUGAUCCAACUCGGCGAGGAUCGGCUCGAUGAUUUCGGCCGGCAGGUUGUUGAUGGUGGCCAUGUGAUCCCGACGAGCGUGUGGUUUUGGUAUGCCUCUGCCUUUUUUCUUCCUUUCACGGCCGACCGCGACACAGCGCGCGCCUUUUGCGCAACACUUGUUUCUGGUCGCUUUUUCUUUUUUUGUAUUUUACGUCUUUUAUUCUUUUUCUCAAUUGGUUGACCACGAAUAAAAAAAUCAACGUGCG
rnacentral:lncRNA from 1 species